GGUAAGAUGGCUGAGUCCAAGUGGCGGAUUGUAGCUCCGUAAACAGAGGUUAAAACCCUCUUCUUAUCA
rnacentral:tRNA from 1 species